rnacentral:rRNA from 1 species
CCUACGGGAGGCAGCAGUGGGGAAUAUUGCACAAUGGGGGAAACCCUGAUGCAGCGACGCCGCGUGAGUGAAGAAGUAUUUCGGUACGUAAAGCUCUAUCAGCAGGGAAGAUAAUGACGGUACCUGAUCAAGAAGCCCCGGCUAACUACGUGCCAGCAGCCGCGGUAAUACGUAGGGGGCAAGCGUUAUCCGGAUUUACUGGGUGUAAAGGGAGCGUAGACGGCAGCACAAGUCUGGAGUGAAAUGCCGGGGCUUAACCCCGGAACUGCUUUGGAAACUGUGCAGCUGGAGUGCAGGAGAGGUAAGUGGAAUUCCUAGUGUAGCGGUGAAAUGCGUAGAUAUCAGGAGGAACACCAGUGGCGAAGGCGGCUUACGGGACUGUAACUGACGUUGAGGCUCGAAAGCGUGGGUAGCGAACAGGAUUAGAUACCCGGGUAGUC